UUUCCCCCAGUUUCCAAGCAUUCAGUUUGCCACAUUCUUCUGUUCUGAGCAUACUAAAGCAGCACUAUUGAAUAUCUCCAGAAAUAGUGCUAGCUUGAGGUAUUGAAAUGCCAAGAGCUAUUAUAAGAUAAAUCAAUUUGUUGGGUAGUAUUCCUGAAAGCGCCUGACUACUCCCUCACAUCUUGUUACCAGACCCAACUCAGCAUUAAGAGCCAAGAAGGAAUGCCAAGAAUGAGUAUUUUUACUCAAAACCCCUUUAACUGUAGCAGUGCUUGGAACCUUAACCUCCCCAAAAGAAAUGUCUCUGUCCUUUGUUAUGGAGGAGAGUGCUUUUCUUUCACUGUAAGCGGACAGUAUGGCAACAUGGAGUUUAGAGUGUGCUUUGAGUGUUCUUUUAUUCUGCACUUUUUGAUUCUCUUUGUAAUAACAUUAGAGUCAAACCACAUGAGUUAAUAAAUGGUAAUGCCACAGACCUUAAUGGAAGAUGAAGGUUCAGUGAGUCUAUUUUUCCUGUAAUGCAGUAAAGAGGCUUUAGAUCAGAGUUUGAUGCAAAAUCCUUUGGAGGAAAUGUGAAGAAUUCCCUUGAUCCUGGAGAAUUAUGGAUUGGUGUCUCCAUGUAAAUUUCCAACUACAUUACAACUGCACAAUACACACAAGUUUCCAUUUUCUGCCUGAAAUGAACUCUGCAUUAAAACAAUGAAGAAAGGAAGGAACCUUUUGAUGGUAAGCAGCCUACGAGAAGGAUCAGCUAGCUUGUGGCUAGUUUGGAGCUGCAAUCAAGACAAUGGAGGUGGAA